rnacentral:rRNA from 1 species
AUGGAGCCGACCUUGAAAUACCACCCUUUAAUGUUUGAUGUUCUAACGUUGACCCGUAAUCCGGGUUGCGGACAGUGUCUGGUGGGUAGUUUGACUGGGGCGGUCUCCUCCUAAAGAGUAACGGAGGAGCACGAAGGUUGGCUAAUCCUGGUCGGACAUCAGGAGGUUAGUGCAAUGGCAUAAGCCAGCUUGACUGCGAGCGUGACGGCGCGAGCAGGUGCGAAAGCAGGUCAUAGUGAUCCGGUGGUUCUGAAUGGAAGGGCCAUCGCUCAACGGAUAAAAGGUACUCCGGGGAUAACAGGCUGAUACCGCCCAAGAGUUCAUAUCGACGGCGGUGUUUGGCACCUCGAUGUCGGCUCAUCACAUCCUGGGGCUGAAGUAGGUCCCAAGGGUAUGGCUGUUCGCCAUUUAAAGUGGUACGCGAGCUGGGUUUAGAACGUCGUGAGACAGUUCGGUCCCUAUCUGCCGUGGGCG